GCCAGAUGUAUUCUGUGAUUGUUUUGCAAGUUUGAGAGAGAAAUGUGUUUGGUAUUUGGCGCGGUAAGGUUUGCAGGAAGUAUACGAAUCGUGGGAGCACAUUCAUUUUGAGGACGUUUAUCCUGCCCAGGAUUUAAAAUCUUUUUGCACUCUGUCCAGAAGUGGGGGGAAGUUUAAUGCAGAAUGAAUUGGUAAAAUCCGCUGAGAGCCAGACCCCCAGGUAUUUAAUAGCUUCCUUGCACCACUGGAG